AAGAUUAUAAGGAAAACAAAGUAAGUCACUUGUAAAAAUUGAAAGUGGUGAGGAAAUGACAAAUGCGGCAUAUGCAGCUGAGAUGAGUCAUUUGACAGUAGGAAUGAUUUCUUAUAUUGGAAUUAACUUCUGGGCAAGCCCAAAUUUUAUUCAUUUCCUGGGGCUACUGUAAUAAAUUACACAACCUGGGUGGUUUGAAACAAUAGAAAUAGGUUAUUUUACAGUUUUGGAGAGUUUGCAAUCAGUCUGGGCUGAAAGCAAGAUGUUGGCAGAGCCACGCUCCCUCCAGAGGCUCUAGGGAGAUUCUGCUCCUUGCCUCUUCCAGCUAGCAUGGUAGUUACAGUGGCAAAGAUGGAUGCAAUAGGUAUGUGGGCCGACAGCAUGGUUCCAGUUCACCAGAUCUGCCUGGAUGCUGUCAGUG
rnacentral:lncRNA from 10 species